CGCGCGCACUUCCCCGGAGAGAGUUCACAGGCUCCCGGCAAUCCGGACCCCGCGGGCGGGGACGAGGAGAAGGGGUACUCACCUCCCCGCAGCCCGGACUGCCUCGGGAUCUGAAGUUCAAGCGUCUGUCCCAGCCGCGGACCCGUGCUUCUGUAUUUAGGUGGAAAGAGUUCUGGUGGUGGAUUUGGUGCAAAAAGGAUUUGGAGCAUGAUCUGAAGCAUAUCGUGGCUUGAAGAGGAUGUCAGUUAAUAUACACGUUUGAAUACAAAUCAAAUGUAAACCUUAACUUCAUCUGGAGCUGGAGUCCAGAAGACAAA